UACGUAGGGGGCAAGCGUUGUCCGGAUUUACUGGGCGUAAAGGGCGCGUAGGCGGUCCGAUAAGUCCCGUGUGAAAGCCCCCGGCUCAACUGGGGAACUGCACGGGAAACUGACGGACUUGAGUUCGGGAGAGGGAAGCGGAAUUCCGGGUGUAGCGGUGAAAUGCGUAGAUAUCCGGAGGAACACCGGUGGCGAAGGCGGCUUCCUGGACCGACACUGACGCUGAGGCGCGAAAGCUAGGGGAGCAAACGGG
rnacentral:rRNA from 1 species